rnacentral:rRNA from 1 species
GUCGAGCGGACAGAUGGGAGCUUGCUCCCUGAUGUUAGCGGCGGACGGGUGAGUAACACGUGGGUAACCUGCCUGUAAGACUGGGAUAACUCCGGGAAACCGGGGCUAAUACCGGAUGGUUGUUUGAACCGCAUGGUUCAAACAUAAAAGGUGGCUUCGGCUACCACUUACAGAUGGACCCGCGGCGCAUUAGCUAGUUGGUGAGGUAACGGCUCACCAAGGCAACGAUGCGUAGCCGACCUGAGAGGGUGAUCGGCCACACUGGGACUGAGACACGGCCCAGACUCCUACGGGAGGCAGCAGUAGGGAAUCUUCCGCAAUGGACGAAAGUCUGACGGAGCAACGCCGCGUGAGUGAUGAAGGUUUUCGGAUCGUAAAGCUCUGUUGUUAGGGAAGAACAAGUACCGUUCGAAUAGGGCGGUACCUUGACGGUACCUAACCAGAAAGCCACGGCUAACUACGUGCCAGCAGCCGCGGUAAUACGUAGGUGGCAAGCGUUGUCCGGAAUUAUUGGGCGUAAAGGGCUCGCAGGCGGUUUCUUAAGUCUGAUGUGAAAGCCCCCGGCUCAACCGGGGAGGGUCAUUGGAAACUGGGGAACUUGAGUGCAGAAGAGGAGAGUGGAAUUCCACGUGUAGCGGUGAAAUGCGUAGAGAUGUGGAGGAACACCAGUGGCGAAGGCGACUCUCUGGUCUGUAACUGACGCUGAGGAGCGAAAGCGUGGGGAGCGAACAGGAUUAGAUACCCUGGUAGUCCACGCCGUAAACGAUGAGUGCUAAGUGUUAGGGGGUUUCCGCCCCUUAGUGCUGCAGCUAACGCAUUAAGCACU